GGCUGGUCCGAAGGUAGCGAGUUAUCUCAAUUGAUGUUCACAGUUAGUUAUAGAUGGAACUCCUUGUUCUACUCUUUCCCCUUUUUCACUACUGCACUUGAUUAGUCUUAA
rnacentral:Y_RNA from 1 species